rnacentral:rRNA from 1 species
CGCGAUUCGCCCUUCGGGGUGCCCAGGCGCGAAACCUUUGCAAUACACGAAAGUGUGACAGGGCUAUCCCGAGUGCCAUCCGCUGAGGAAGGCUUUUACCCAGUCUAGAACGCUGGGGGAAUAAGGAGAGGGCAAGUCUGGUGUCAGCCGCCGCGGUAAUACCAGCUCUCCGAGUGGUGUGGAUGUUUAUUGGGCCUAAAGCAUCCGUAGCUGGCUAAGUAAGUCCCUUGUUAAAUCCACCGAAUUAAUCGUUGGAUCGCGGGGGAUACUGCUUGGCUAGGGGACGAGAGAGGCAGACGGUAUUUUCGGGGUAGGGGUGAAAUCCUAUAAUCCCGGGAAGACCACCAGUGGCGAAGGCUGUCUGCUAGAACGUGCCCGACGGUGAGGGAUGAAAGCUGGGGGAGCGAACCGGAUUAGAUACCCGGGUAGUCCCAGCUGUAAACGAUGCAGACUAGGUGUUUGGACGGCCACGUGCCGUUCUAGUGCCGCAGGGAAGCUGUUAAGUCUGCCGCCUGGGGAGUACGAUCGCAAGAUUGAAACUUAAAGGAAUUGGCGGGGGAGCAC